GAUGAACGCUAGCGGCAGGCUUAAUACAUGCAAGUCGAGGGGCAUCAAGGUACACGAAAGUGUAUUGUUGGCGACCGGCGGACGGGUGAGUAAUAGGUAGGUAACCUACCUCAUACUGAGGCAUAGCUGGGAGAAAUUCCAGGUAAUUCCUCAUGAGGUUAUAUGACACAUGUGAUAUAAUCAAAGGUAUCGCAAGGUACUGGUAUGAGAUGGGCUUACUGACCAUUAGCUAGUUGGUGAGAUAAGAGCUCACCAAGGCGAAGAUGGUUAGGGGUUUUGAGAGAGAGAUCCCCCACAUUGGAACUGAGAUACGGUCCAGACUCCUACGGGAGGCAGCAGUAGGGAAUAUUGGGCAAUAGGCGGAAGCCUGACCCAGCCAUGCCGCGUGAAGGAAGACGGCCUUAUGGGUUGUAAACUUCUUUACUAUGCGACUAACUAGAUUUACGAGAUAAUUCUAUAGAAUGUAGCAUAGCAAAAGCACCGG
rnacentral:rRNA from 1 species